GACGAACGCUGGCGGCGUGCUUAACACAUGCAAGUCGAACGGAAAGGCCCUGCUUUUGUGGGGUGCUCGAGUGGCGAACGGGUGAGUAACACGUGAGUAACCUGCCCUUGACUUUGGGAUAACUUCAGGAAACUGGGGCUAAUACCGGAUAGGAGCUCCUGCUGCAUGGUGGGGGUUGGAAAGUUUCGGCGGUUGGGGAUGGACUCGCGGCUUAUCAGCUUGUUGGUGGGGUAGUGGCUUACCAAGGCGUUGACGGGUAGCCGGCCUGAGAGGGUGACCGGCCACAUUGGGACUGAGAUACGGCCCAGACUCCUACGGGAGGCAGCAGUGGGGAAUAUUGCACAAUGGGCGGAAGCCUGAUGCAGCAACGCCGCGUGCGGGAUGACGGCCUUCGGGUUGUAAACCGCUUUCGCCUGUGACGAAGCGAGAGUGACGGUAAUGGGUGAAGAAGCACCGGCUAACUACGUG
rnacentral:rRNA from 1 species